rnacentral:rRNA from 1 species
AACGAACGCUGGCGGCAGGCUUAACACAUGCAAGUCGAACGCCCCGCAAGGGGAGUGGCAGACUGGUGAGUAACGCGUGGGAACAUACCCUUUUCUACGGAAUAGCUCUGGGAAACUGGAAUUAAUACCGUAUACGCCCUACGGGGGAAAGAUUUAUCGGGGAAGGAUUGGCCCGCGUUGGAUUAGCUAGUUGGUGGGGUAAAGGCCUACCAAGGCGACGAUCCAUAGCUGGUCUGAGAGGAUGAUCAGCCACAUUGGGACUGAGACACGGCCCAAACUCCUACGGGAGGCAGCAGUGGGGAAUAUUGGACAAUGGGCGCAAGCCUGAUACAGCCAUGCCGCGUGAGUGAUGAAGGCCUUAGGGUUGUAAAGCUCUUUCACAGAUGAAGAUAAUGACGGUAGUCGGAGAAGAAGCCCCGGCUAACUUCGUG